rnacentral:rRNA from 1 species
UACGUAGGUGGCAAGCGUUGUCCGGAUUUACUGGGCGUAAAGAGCGCGCAGGCGGUCGUUCAAGUCGCGUGUGAAAGCCCCCGGCUCAACUGGGGAGGGUCACGCGAUACUGAUCGACUCGAAGGCAGGAGAGGUGAGUGGAAUUCCCGGUGUAGCGGUGAAAUGCAUAGAUAUCGGGAGGAACACCUGUGGCGAAAGCGGCUCACUGGACCAUAACUGACGCUGAUGCACGAAAGCUGGGGGAGCAAACAGG